rnacentral:rRNA from 1 species
CCUACGGGAGGCAGCAGUGAGGAAUAUUGGUCAAUGGACGAGAGUCUGAACCAGCCAAGUAGCGUGAAGGAUGACUGCCCUAUGGGUGGUAAACUUCUUUUAUAAAGGAAUAAAACGAGGCACGUGUGCCUUUUUGCAUGUACUUUAUGAAUAAGGAUCGGCUAACUACGUGCCAGCAGCCGCGGUAAUACGGAGGAUCCGAGCGUUAUCCGGAUUUAUUGGGUUUAAAGGGAGCGUAGAUGGGUUGUUAAGUCAGUUGUGAAAGUUUGCGGCUCAACCGUAAAAUUGCAAUUGAUACUGGCAGUCUUGAGUACAGUUGAGGUAGGCGGAAUUCGUGGUGUAGCGGUGAAAGGCUUAGAUAUCACGAAGAACCCCGAUUGCGAAGGCAGCUUACUAAACUGUGACUGACAUUGAUGCUCGAAAGUGUGGGUAUCAAACAGGAUUAGAUACCCUGGUAGUC